rnacentral:snoRNA from 2 species
CCCCUCUCAGGAUCACACCCGGAGAGUUUCCAGUACUCUACCAGUCUCGGCAAUGGGAGGAAGAGUCAUGCAGAAACAUACCCAUUCCUUUCUUAGCUUGGACAGUGGCUAGCGAGUGGAAGGUAAUCUGCUACAAGU